rnacentral:lncRNA from 1 species
UGACCUUUCUCCUUUGCUUCCCUUGCAGACAGACAGGCCGGAGCUGAGGCAGGCACUGCCCCGCAGCAGUGCCACCAGUGAACGGAGAGAGCCUCUACCAGCCUUGCUGCCUCUGCCAAGGCAGGCAGCGACACUGACAGCCACACCCCGGCAUUCAGUGGGAGCUGCAAAUGUGCCCCGGCUGCCCGCUCUGCCAGCAGUAGGCUCCACCACUUCUGCGCCAUGCAGAGACCGCAUCGCGAGCACCAAGGCUGUCAGACUCCCCGAGGUCGUCCCACGUCCUCAAGGAAACCCGAGUAAACAGCAAAUGGCAGCAACUGCUGAGAGCUGGGGGACAGCCCUGCAAGUCCCCGCAUCCAUUCUGACGCCUCUGCAGGCCAGACCUGAGCAACACAACAGGCUACCCCCGAGCCAUGCUGCAGCCAAGAGCCCAAGACUCAGGGUGCAGCAGGGGGUACUAAGGCACCAUGCCCCUCCCAGCAGUCUGGCAACACCAGCAAGGACAGCCCAAGUGCCGGCAACCAAGACUGAAAAGACACCGGCAGCACAGACAGAAACAGAUGACCACGCUCAAGAGGGCACAAGAGCUGCUGGUGGGACCUCCAAGCCAUGUUCCCUGGCAGCAGCACCGGGCCCAGCAGCGCAGGCAGACGGCAUUGCCUGCCACCCUCAGGGCGAGACCCCACACCCUGGGGAUGUGGCACAGUAUCUGGCAGUCCUGGACAGUGAGCCAGAGCCUCUGGAAGAGCUGGAGAGCACCGCUGCAGGACCAUCAAGGGAGGAACAGAGGGACUUGAUGCAGAGGGAGGAGCAAAGAGAUGCUGCUACCAAGGACCCGUCAGGAGGGAGGCAGCAGAAGGAACCCACCUCAAACCUUCACCAGGACCCAGACGCAGCCCACCAGCAGGGGCCUGGCUCACCCCAUAACACUGGCGGAGAUUCUGCAGGAGAGGCAGUCAGCCACGCACAGAGUGCAUCUCUUGCCCUGUCAGGGACAACCAAUGCUGAGCCAGCAGCUUCUGCGCAGGCCACAGGUCCUGCCAGUGAGGGGGACAAGGAGCCUCUGGGUGCAUCAGCACCCAGAGAUGCUAAUUCGCCUUCUCCCCUGCCUGCCGCUAUGCCUGACCCUUCCACAAACACCCAGGGAAGACCGUCGACAUUGCAAGACCGGGUCAAGAUCAACUGGGAUGUCUAUGGGCGCUCUUCCUUUCUGCCAGCAAUGCGGACCAUUCCUAGCGGGGAGAGGGAAGGCCGCCGGUUGUCCUGGUGGAACGUGUCCUGGCCGAGCAGCGUGAGGGUUCCAAGACUGCGAGGGAUCUGGGCAGCACGUGAUGGUGACACAGCUGCCGGCACUGCACCCAGCGCAUCGGGCAGCCAGGAGAUGGCAGGGAGGACCGCGGGCCAGCGCCUUCCCUACCUUUGCCCCUCAACGAGUAAGACCACUCUGCAGGAUGUUCAGGAAGAGUGGGAAGAGAGCCCCAAGAGAAAAGCUGUGGCACAAGCAGACGACGUCCCACCCAGCAUGUCUCCUGCCCCAUCUGGUGAGGCCGAUGCCGGGCCUUCAGCUGCUCCUAUGGCUGCAGUUCCCGGGCCCGAGGAGCUCACCCCUGUCUGCAUGCCCGAAGACGGAAAAUCUUCAGCCCCUCCCCUGGCUGUGGACCCUGUGGAGGAGGCCAGCACAGCACCUCUCACCCCAUCGGCAUGUGAGGAAGAAGAAGCAGCACCUUCUCCCCUGGUUGGGAGCCUUCUGCAAGAGGUUUCCUCCGAGCCCAGAGGCAGUGCACAGCGCUCCUCGCACUUCCAAGCAGUGCCAGAGGAAGGCCCAGGUAUGUCCCCGAGUGUGGAGCCAUCACAGCCCGCAGCAUGGAGGCUGGCAGCACUCCACGCACAAGGUCGGACCGUGCCCAACUGUCCCCUCCCUGGGGAAAGCCUUGGUGGCGGGGGCAGGCAGGGCCAUGCCCAGUGCCUGCCCAGCCCCUCACGUACAGCUCUCUGUCCCCCACAGGCACCGCUGCCCUCCCGCACGCUGCAGCUCGCCGGCGAUGGCCCAACUUCUUCAGGACAGCGCUUCGGGCUCUGCGCAGGGCUUUCUCCUGCAGCUGCAUCACAGGAGACCGAGAGCAGCAGCAUGAGGCUGCCAGAACCAGGCAGCUCCUUAGAGAUGGCAGCUUCGGUCCCGAGGACGGGGCUUCUGAAUAAAAUCGUUCAGAACUCUUUCCUAGCUGAGGGCUGUGUCUUCUGUUCUGUUCUGUUCUGUUCUGUGUGCAUGGGUGUCUACAGGCUGCGAGUGCUGCUGCUGGGGUCAGACCCCGGGGCAGUGGGUCCCCAUUUCUGUGGUGCCAAUGCCUAGAGGGAUCGUGGGUGUACAAGGCAGUGUGAUAGCUGGCAAAGGUCAAGCCAGAUGAGCCAGUGAGUGUGGGAGGUGGAGGGCCGAGUGGCUCUGGGAGGGCCCUGGGUGUGCAAGUGCCCAUGUGUCUCCAGGGCUGAGACCACGCUGGGGUCACUGUGUUAGGGAUAAAAGGCUUAAAUUGGUCUGAUGUGAAAUAGCCAUUGUUUUAAGACUAGCAAGGGGAAACUCUGACCUUGCAAUGGUACAUAAUGCUUGCUCUGUGAUACGGCUGUCUCUUCUGUUCUGUUCUGUGUGCACGGGCGUCUAUGGGCUGCGUGUGCUGCUGUUGGGGUCAGACCCCGGGGCAGGGUGUCCCCAUCUCCGUGCUUCCAGUGCCUAGAGGGUGCACAUGUUUGCGAGGCUGUGCUACCAGUGAAGGGAGGAAGCCUCUGCCAGCCUUGCUGCCUCUCCCAAGGCAGGCAGCGACACUGACAGCCGCACCUUGGCAUUCAGUGGGAGCUGCAAAUGUCCCCCAGCUGCCACUCUGCCAGCAGUAGGCUCCACCUUUUCUGCGCCAUUCAGAGAAAACACCAUGAGCACCAUGCCCUUCAGACUCUCCGAUGUUAUCCUACAUCCUCAGCGAAACCUGGGUAACUUGCAAAUGGCAGCAAGUUCUGAGAGCUGGGGGACAGCCCUGCAAGUCAUCUCCUGACACUAGCCUUUUACAUAUUUAUAGACAUUAAUAAGGUCACCGCUCAGUCUCCUCUAAGCUAAUGAGACCCAGCUCCCUCAGCCUUUCUUCGUAAGGGAAAUGCUCUACUCCCUUAAUCAUCUUUGUUGCUCUGUGCUGAACUUUCUCAAGCAGAUUCCCUUCCUUCUUGAACUGAGGGGUCCAGAACUUGAUGCAAUAUUCCAGAUGCGGUCAGGGCAGAGCAGAGGGGGAGGAAAACCUCUCUCAACCUACUAACCAUGCCUCUUCUAAUACACCCCAGGAUGCCACUAGGCUUCUUGGCCACAAGGGUAUGGUGCUGGCUCAUGAUCAUCCCGCUGUCCACCAGGACCCCCAGGUCUCUUUCCCCUACGCUGCUCUCCAGCUGGUCAGUCCCCAACUUAUACUAGUGUCUGGAGUUGUUCUUGCCCAGAUGCAGGACUCUACACUUGCCCUCAUUAUAUUUCAUUAAAUUUCUUCCCACCCAAUUCUACCUGUCUAGGUCCAACUGAAUGGCAGCACAGUCUUCUGGUGUGUCAGCCACUACUCCCAGUUCAGUGUCAUCAGCAAACUUGCUGGCAGUGCACUCCAUUCCCUCAUCCAAGUCAUUGAUGAAUAUAUUGAACAAUACUGGUCCCAGCACCAACCCUUAAGGGGCCCCACGAAUUCCCGCUGAAUCCAGCUCGAUUCCGUCCCAUUGACCACAACUCUCUGCCUUCUUCCCUUCAGCCAGUUCAAAGUCCACCUCACUACCCAAUCAUCCAAACCACACUUCCUCAGUUUAUCUACGAGGAUGCUGUGGGAGGUGGUGUCAAAGGCUUUACUGAAAUCAAGAUAGACCACGUCCACAGCUUUUCCAUCAUCUAUCUACCUGGUUAUGUGCUAAAUAACUUAUUUCACUCCUUUUCUGCCCAUUGUGGUAAAAAUAAAUAAUUAAAUAAUAAUUAAAAAAAAAAAUGC